CCGCCCAAUGCGCCGCCCACACCUGCUUCGGUGGUGCCGCCAGCAGACGCGAAGCCACUGACCAGGCCAAGGGACAACAAGAGAAUCGAGGAGAACUUCAUAGAGGAACCUCAAGGGGAUGACGGCGCGAUCCUGAGGCUGUGUCAUGGUUGUGACAAUAGAAAUCCGACGAAUAACACGACUUGAGCACAUUUCUAUAAGUUGCUGUUUUUUGGGCGGAACUUAAGUGUUUUUCGCCGGUCUUUAGCUACUUCUCAAAGGCCGUUUUCAUAUGAAAACGGCCUUUUUUGUGGGCGAUUGGAAAGUACGGAUCGGAAGAGUUUGUUGAGUGGGCUACCGCCAUCGCUGCGUCAAGCUGACUUGGCCAUGAUCAACCCGGUUUCACUCGCCGCCUCCAGCCGGAUCGACACAAACUUCGACGUCGGCGUA
rnacentral:sRNA from 1 species